GUCGAACGGUGAUGGCAAGCUUGCUUGUCUGAUCAGUGGCGAACGGGUGAGUAACACGUGAGCAACCUGCCCUCCUCUCUGGGAUAAGCCUUGGAAACGGGGUCUAAUACCGGAUAUUCACUUCUGCCUGCAUGGGUGGUGGUGGAAAGCUUUUGCGGUGGGGGAUGGGCUCGCGGCCUAUCAGCUUGUUGGUGGGGUGAUGGCCUACCAAGGCGAUGACGGGUAGCCGGCCUGAGAGGGCGACCGGCCACACUGGGACUGAGACACGGCCCAGACUCCUACGGGAGGCAGCAGUGGGGAAUAUUGCACAAUGGGCGAAAGCCUGAUGCAGCGACGCCGCGUGCGGGAUGACGGCCUUCGGGUUGUAAACCGCUUUCGGCAGGGAAGAAGCCGUAAGGUGACGGUACCUGCAGAAGAAGCGCCGGCUAACUACGUGCCAGCAGCCGCGGUAAUACGUAGGGCGCAAGCGUUGUCCGGAAUUAUUGGGCGUAAAGAGCUCGUAGGCGGUUCGUCGCGUCUGCUGUGAAAUCCUCAGGCUCAACCUGGGGCGUGCAGUGGGUACGGGCGGACUAGAGUGCGGUAGGGGUGACUGGAAUUCCUGGUGUAGCGGUGGAAUGCGCAGAUAUCAGGAGGAACACCGAUGGCGAAGGCAGGUCACUGGGCCGCAACUGACGCUGAGGAGCGAAAGCAUGGGGAGCGAACAGGAUUAGAUACCCUGGUAGUCCAUGCCGUAAACGUUGGGCACUAGGUGUGGGGUCCAUUCCACGGAUUCCGUGCCGCAGCAAACGCAUUAAGUGCCCCGCCUGGGGAGUACGGCCGCAAGGCUAAAACUCAAAGAAAUUGACGGGGGCCCGCACAAGCGGCGGAGCAUGCGGAUUAAUUCGAUGCAACGCGAAGAACCUUACCAAGGCUUGACAUGCACUCGUAACA
rnacentral:rRNA from 1 species